GGCCUACGGGAGGCAGCAGUGAGGAAUAUUGGUCAAUGGGCUUACGCCUGAACCAGCCAAGUCGCGUGAGGGAAGACGGUCCUACGGAUUGUAAACCUCUUUUGCCGGGGAGCAACGGGGUCCUUGCGAGGGCCCGAUGAGAGUACCCGGAGAAAAAGCAUCGGCUAACUCCGCGCCAGCAGCCGCGGUAAUACGGAGGAUCCGAGCGUUAUCCGGAUUUAUUGGGUUUAAAGGGAGCGUAGGUGGAUUGUUAAGUCAGUUGUGAAAGUUUGCGGCUCAACCGUAAAAUUGCAGUUGAAACUGGC
rnacentral:rRNA from 1 species